rnacentral:ncRNA from 1 species
AAUGAUAAAUACAAUGAGAGGCAAUAAUUAUAAAAAAAUUGGAGCAAAUCUUUAAAAUUUAUCUUAGUUCGGAUUAUGGGCUGCAACUCGCCCAUAUAAAG